rnacentral:tRNA from 1 species
GCCCUUUUGGCUCAGUGGUAGAGCGUCGCACUCGUAAUGCGAAGGUCCACGGUUCAAUCCCGUGAGGGGGCA